rnacentral:tRNA from 1 species
GGGCGAUUAGCUCAGUGGUAGAGCGCUUCGUUUACACCGAAGAUGUCGGGAGUUCGACCCUCUCAUCGCCCACCA